rnacentral:rRNA from 1 species
CGCGUGUAGCAGUGAAAUGCGUAGAGAUGUGGAGGAAUACCGAUGGCGAAGGCAGCCCCCUGGGAUAGAACUGACGCUCAGGCACGAAAGCGUGGGUAGCAAACAGGAUUAGAUACCCUGGUAGUCCACGCCCUAAACGAUGUCUACUUGCUGUUGGGGGUAAAACCUAAGUAGCGAAGCUAACGCGAGAAGUAGACCGCCUGGGGAGUACGGUCGCAAGAUUAAAACUCAAAGGAAUUGACGGGGACCCGCACAAGCGGUGGAUGAUGCGGAUUAAUUCGAUGCAACGCGAAAAACCUUACCUGCUCUUGACAUGUUAGAAAUCCUGCAGAGAUGUGGGAGUGCCUUCGGGAAUCUAAACACAGGUGCUGCAUGGCUGUCGUCAGCUCGUGUCGUGAGAUGUUGUCUUAAGUGACGCAACGAGCGCAACCCUUGUCAUUAGUUGCCAUCAUUAAGUUGGGCACUCUAAUGAUACUGCCGGUGAUAAACCGGAGGAAGGUGGGGAUGACGUCAAGUCCUCAUGGCCCUUAUGAGCAGGGCUUCACGCGUCAUACAAUGGUCGGUACAAACGGUUGCGAAGCAGUGAUGUGGAGCUAAUCCGAGAAAGCCGAUCUCAGUCCGGAUUGUAGUCUGCAACUCGACUACAUGAAGUCGGAAUCGCUAGUAAUCGCAGAUCAGCAUGCUGCGGUGAAUACGUUCCCGGGUCUUGUACACACCGCCCGUCACACCAUG